rnacentral:rRNA from 1 species
AGAGUUUGAUCAUGGCUCAGAUUGAACGCUGGCGGCAGGCCUAACACAUGCAAGUCGAGCGGUAACACAGAGAGCUUGCUCUCGGGUGACGAGCGGCGGACGGGUGAGUAAUGUCUGGGAAACUGCCUGAUGGAGGGGGAUAACUACUGGAAACGGUAGCUAAUACCGCAUAACGUCGCAAGACCAAAGUGGGGGACCUUCGGGCCUCAUGCCAUCAGAUGUGCCCAGAUGGGAUUAGCUAGUAGGUGGGGUAAUGGCUCACCUAGGCGACGAUCCCUAGCUGGUCUGAGAGGAUGACCAGCCACACUGGAACUGAGACACGGUCCAGACUCCUACGGGAGGCAGCAGUGGGGAAUAUUGCACAAUGGGCGAAAGCCUGAUGCAGCCAUGCCGCGUGUAUGAAGAAGGCCUUCGGGUUGUAAAGUACUUUCAGCGAGGAGGAAGGCAUCAAGGUUAAUAACCUUGGUGAUUGACGUUACUCGCAGAAGAAGCACCGGCUAACUCCGUGCCAGCAGCCGCGGUAAUACGGAGGGUGCAAGCGUUAAUCGGAAUUACUGGGCGUAAAGCGCACGCAGGCGGUCUGUCAAGUCGGAUGUGAAAUCCCCGGGCUCAACCUGGGAACUGCAUUCGAAACUGGCAGGCUAGAGUCUUGUAGAGGGGGGUAGAAUUCCAGGUGUAGCGGUGAAAUGCGUAGAGAUCUGGAGGAAUACCGGUGGCGAAGGCGGCCCCCUGGACAAAGACUGACGCUCAGGUGCGAAAGCGUGGGGAGCAAACAGGAUUAGAUACCCUGGUAGUCCACGCCGUAAACGAUGUCGAUUUGGAGGUUGUGCCCUUGAGGCGUGGCUUCCGGAGCUAACGCGUUAAAUCGACCGCCUGGGGAGUACGGCCGCAAGGUUAAAACUCAAAUGAAUUGACGGGGGCCCGCACAAGCGGUGGAGCAUGUGGUUUAAUUCGAUGCAACGCGAAGAACCUUACCUGGUCUUGACAUCCACAGAACUUAGCAGAGAUGCUUUGGUGCCUUCGGGAACUGUGAGACAGGUGCUGCAUGGCUGUCGUCAGCUCGUGUUGUGAAAUGUUGGGUUAAGUCCCGCAACGAGCGCAACCCUUAUCCUUUGUUGCCAGCGGUUCGGCCGGGAACUCAAAGGAGACUGCCAGUGAUAAACUGGAGGAAGGUGGGGAUGACGUCAAGUCAUCAUGGCCCUUACGACCAGGGCUACACACGUGCUACAAUGGCAUAUACAAAGAGAAGCGACCUCGCGAGAGCAAGCGGACCUCAUAAAGUAUGUCGUAGUCCGGAUUGGAGUCUGCAACUCGACUCCAUGAAGUCGGAAUCGCUAGUAAUCGUAGAUCAGAAUGCUACGGUGAAUACGUUCCCGGGCCUUGUACACACCGCCCGUCACACCAUGGGAGUGGGUUGCAAAAGAAGUAGGUAGCUUAACCUUCGGGAGGGCGCUUACCACUUUGUGAUUCAUGACUGGGGUGAAGUCGUAACAAGGUAACCGUAGGGGAACCUGCGGUUGGAUCACCU